GAUGAACGCUGGCGGCGUGCCUAAUACAUGCAAGUCGAGCGAACGGACGAGAAGCUUGCUUUUCUCAUGUUAGCGGCGGACGUGUGAGUAACACGUGGAUAACCUACCUAUAAGACUGGUAUAACUUCGGGAAACCGGAGCUAAUACCGGAUAAUAUUUUGAACCGCAUGGUUCAAAAGUGAAAGACGGUCUUGCUGUCACUUAUAGAUGGAUCCGCGCUGCAUUAGCUAGUUGGUAAGGUAACGGCUUACCAAGGCAACGAUGCCUAGCCGACCUGAGAGGGUGAUCGGCGACAUUGGAACUGAGACGCGGUCCAGGCUACUACGGGAGGCAGCAGUAGGGAAUCUUCCGCAAUGGGCGAAAGCCUGACGGAGCAACGCCGCGUGAGUGAUGAAGGUCUUCGGAUCGUAAAACUCUGUUAUUAGGGAAGAACAGAUGUGUAAGUAACUGUGCACAUCUUGACGGUACCUAAUCAGAAAGCCACGGCUAACUACGUG
rnacentral:rRNA from 1 species